rnacentral:sRNA from 1 species
UUUACUUUUACAACUUACUCUUACAACUUACUCUUCAACCGUUCAUUACCAGUCAGUACCAAAGGAAUCAUUAAUUGAAUUGUUUCUACCCAGCAAAAAUAGUAGAGGAAACUACACACCCAUCACUCAUCCGAACAAAUCCCCGGUUCCGAAAACCCAUUUACAUCUUGGGUCUGGUACCUUUUUUUGCCCUUUUUAGGCCUUCUUUAUUUUGGACCAAUUUUUACAUGUGGUAGUACUAAUACCGGCAUUUCAGUAACCCGCAAACCCGGGGGGACCUGAAAAUGUCCCUUCUUCUCUAUUUAAACCCAUCAUGGAGGAUACGUAAAGCAUCAAGAUGUGUUGACUGCAAAAAGUGCGUUCAUUGACUCAAUGCUGCAGAUUUUUUGACAAGCCUGCAUGCAUCUUGGAUUCUUUUCGUCCUUGUCCUUUUGUGCAAGUGAUGAGUAUGGAGGAAUGAUGAGGUACAGGAUCGUGUAUAGUCGUUAUCUGAUCAACUCGUAUAACUAACGACAUAUCCAAUAUUCGCAUUUGAUCUUGACAGCGUUGUUACGCAUAUCACCCACUCGGCAUUCAAUCAAACCGAUCUGCUAUCCAGCAAAAUACCGUUUAACCUUGGCUUAGCUUCUUGAUCUCUCCCCAUCCCUCCAAAUGCGAUCCCGCAAGACUUUUAUCCCCCCAAAACAUCCUCGCUCUCUCCUCUUCAUAUCCCACAUCACUCUCCACAUCCUUCCAUCUCAGCGCUCGCAUCGCGGCCAACUUUUCCGAAAGAUUGGUAGGUACGCCGUGGGUGCCAAAGGCGGAUGGACUGCGGAGCGCGUGGUAUGCUGUCCACCAGUGUUCUUCGUUAAGCGUUGGUGAUGGGUUGCUGUUGCCGUUGCCGUUGCUGUCGGCAGAUUGGAUGUAGGAUAUAAUGUCGCAGACUGUGGAUGAAUCGACCGUUGGUGGACAAGGUUUGAGGUUUGCAACUGUUGUGGUCGCGAGUCUGCGCCGGGGAGCAGAAGAAAGUUCUUUGCUUGAUGUCGUCGUCGUCUCUAAUGGUGCAGAGGAAACAUGGUUGCUAGUUGAUGUACUUGCAGUACCUGAACUCGGAGUGCUCGCUGUUGAGAGACGAUCAUGAUGGCCACCGGAAAAACGACCCGAUCGGAAAUCGGAAGAAGGGAAAGGGGUAAAAGUCGCGCCGCUACUAACCCAACUUUCAACUAUUUCCCCCACGCUCUUCGCCCUCUCCCUCAUCCAGUGCCCCACCUCUUCCCCGUUCUCUCUCCCUCUCCCGCUUCUAAUUUCCCUCAGUUCCUUCCCCACAGCGCUACUCCUCUCGCUUAGAGCAGCCGAUACCUCACUAGGAACAGAAAUAUCAAACGAUCCGCCUCUCAGAACGGAAGAGACGGCAGAGACAACGGAAGAGUCGGUAGGUGGGUAUGUUUCUCGGAUGUAAGGGGAUGUAAUUGAUAAAGAGAGGAAUGCAUCGAGGUUGGAGAUGUCGAUUGAUGAUCUUUUGAAAGAGCGAGAUUCGAAAGAUGGAUAGCUUGCGGAACUGUCAGAGGAAGAUGAUGAAGACAUGGUUAGUGGUUGAUUUUCAGGAAAGGAGGUUAAAUGGUGAGCGAGAAGAAGAGUGAUCGACACCGAAAUGUGUUGUAAGAGCCGAGGGAUGAUGUGAUUUAUGUGUUUGGCCAUAGAAAACCGUCCGUUUAGUCAUUUUCAAUGUUAGUCAUGCGUCCUCC